AGAGCUCAAUACUGUUUCUACCUUGAAGACUCCUGUCUACUAUAUACUGCAUAUACGCAAUACGCAUAGUUCAUUUUGUAUAAUCCUCACCCACAAAAUGUGUUGGUAGGAGAAAAAAUGGAAAAUAAUUCAACCCGAAGCUAUAUAUCUCCACAAGAUAGGAUGAAUACUGAUUUGAUGGUGAUGGGAGGGGUUGCAUCAGUUUGUAUAAUUCUGUUCUUAAUCUACAUCAUCUUCUCUAAAAGAGAGGUAACAGAUUUUUUCUUGUUUUGGUUUGUCUGCGGUGGUACAUAUAAUACUGUGGAAUAAGAAGACGAGAUUUAAAAUAUCCUGUCACAUCAAUCUCUCUAGAAUGGGUAUUAUGUACUGUUCCGUUUUCCAUUGUACAGGGUUACCCACAAAGGAUGAGACUCCAAAAUUAGAAAAAUUAGAGGGUUUAAAGCUUGAUUUUUGGUUUUUGCAUCUAAUUAAGUAAUUAGAUGGUUUUCUAAAUGAUGAAGCUCAAAAAUGAGCCAGUUGUAGCCUACAAGGAACCCCUAAACGCUAUGAAAACGGACUGAACAAUUUCUUACAAUCGUCUAUGUAUCUUCUGUAGAGUAUUACAGCCUAAAAAUCUGUUCGGUACUUCAAAUGAACUGACGUUUUCAGUCUUAUGUUUGUUUGAUGUAGAAAGCAAAUAGUUUUAUCAGAAGAAUAAAAAUAAAAAAAUUAUUAUAUGUACACUCGAUCAUCUUUUUGCACUUUCUAUUUUACAGAUCCUCCUGCAUUUCAGGUCUUCAGAUUUAUCACAUUUUAUAU